ACGUGAGUUUGUGUGUGAUAUGAAAUUUCGCACAGGACUCUCUGAAAUUUUGAUUGUCAAAUUAUCGACCAUUGUCGGUGAUGAUGGUGUGUAGUAAAUCGAAUCUGUAAAUGAUGGAUUUCUGAAUGAAGUCUUCCAUUUUGUUUUCAGUGAUUUGGGCCAGUGGUUUGGCUUCUAUCCAUUUGGUGAAGUAGUCAAUAGCAAUCACUAUAAAUU
rnacentral:lncRNA from 1 species